CCUACGGGUGGCUGCAGUGGGGAAUAUUGGACAAUGGGGGCAACCCUGAUCCAGCCAUGCCGCGUGUGUGAAGAAGGCCCUCGGGUUGUAAAGCACUUUCAGUGAGGAAGAACGCCUGGUGGUUAAUACCCAUCAGGAAAGACAUCACUCACAGAAGAAGCACCGGCUAACUCCGUGCCAGCAGCCGCGGUAAUACGGAGGGUGCGAGCGUUAAUCGGAAUUACUGGGCGUAAAGCGCGCGUAGGUGGCUUGAUAAGCCGGUUGUGAAAGCCCCGGGCUCAACCUGGGAACGGCAUCCGGAACUGUCAAGCUAGAGUGCAGGAGAGGAAGGUAGAAUUCCCGGUGUAGCGGUGAAAUGCGUAGAGAUCGGGAGGAAUACCAGUGGCGAAGGCGGCCUUCUGGUCUGACACUGACACUGAGGUGCGAAAGCGUGGGUAGCAAACAGGAUUAGAUACCCGAGUAGUC
rnacentral:rRNA from 1 species